ACGCACGUGUGAAACUUGAAGGAAUUGACGGAAGGGCACCACAAGAACGCGUGGAGCAUGUGGCUUAAUUUGACUCAACGCGGGAAAUCUUACCGGGUCCGGACACACUGAGGAUUGACAGGCAAUAUCUCAUGUUUAAUAACCGUUAUUAACGUAUCGCGUUAUUUAAUACAUCGAGUGUUAAAUAUGCUAGUCCUUUCAUGAUUAUGUGAUAG
rnacentral:rRNA from 1 species